AGUGAACGCUGGCGGCAGGCCUAAUACAUGCAAGUCGAACGGCAGCACAGUGGAGCUUGCUCCAUGGGUGGCGAGUGGCGGACGGGUGAGGAAUACAUGGGAAUCUGCCCAGUCGUGGGGAUAACGUAUGGAAACGUACGCUAAUACCGCAUGCGCCCUUCGGGGGAAAGUCGGGGACCGCAAGGCCUGACGCGAUUGGAUGAGCCCAUGUUCGAUUAGCUAGUUGGCGGGUAACGGCCCACCAAGGCGACGAUCGAUAGCUGGUCUGAGAGGAUGAUCAGCCACACUGGAACUGAGACACGGUCCAGACUCCUACGGGAGGCAGCAGUAGGGAAUAUUGGACAAUGGGGGCAACCCUGAUCCAGCCAUGCCGCGUGAGUGAAGAAGGCCCUCGGGUUGUAAAGCUCUUUUGUUGGGGAAGAAAAGCAGUUGGUUAAUACCCGAUUGUUCUGACGGUACCCAAAGAUAAGCACCGGCUAACUUCGUGCCAGCAGCCGCGGUAA
rnacentral:rRNA from 1 species